UGGAAUUCAUUUUCUGAAAGACAUAUGCCUUUCUUAUAAAGAUCUAUCAGUUUUCAAGCAACGAAGUUUCCACAUGGUGAAACUGAAAGUUAAGCUCUGGGGAAAAGUAUUGUGUAAAAUCUGUAGAAGAUAAACUGAAAUAAAAUAAAAGACAAAGAAAGCCCAACUUAAAGAAAGCCACCAGGAGUUACAAUCUCCCCUGCAACAAAGUGUGAUUUCAACUGGGCAUCCUUGGGCAAAGUCGACAUGUUUCAGCCUCCCUCUCACACUAGCAAAUCCUGUAAGAAUGCCUACAGGGUAAAAAUAAAGCUGGCUGUGAUGAACCUGGGCUUUGCAGAGACCAGGGUAGUGCCUAUCAACUCAGUGACAAUGCUUUCUGCCCAAGCACAAUGAACUGUUCCGAUUUUAUGGCCUUCUGUUAGGUUGAAGCCUACAAAAAAAAAAAGCAAAGCAUCUUGAAAUGAGACUUUGUGUGGCUCACUCCAGUGCUGAGCUCCAGUGAUCCGGAGCAUCACUCUCAAAGUGGCGAAGGAAAAUAAAGACAAGGGAAGUUGCAAUAAAGAAACCUGAGUGCUUAGAGCAUUCUGUCCAAGUUGUUUUCCACUAAAGGUGAAGAAACUCUGAUUAGAGAGGUUUAAAUAACUUGACCAAGACAUGGGACACGUGAGCGUCAUGGCGAGGGACUGAACCUUGAUUGCUCUGACUUCAACUCCUGAGAUUCUAACGAUGGUCCUCCACCGCUGCUCAGAUCAAGGUUAAUGACAUCUUCAUUUCUACAUUUCUCUGACAUGUUGUAUUGACUCUUCUUCAUUUUGCUGUUAGCAUUCCAGUAUAAGCUUUCUGGUUGCUUCCUCACUGCAUGCUGAUAUGAUUUGGCUGUAUCUUCACCCACAUCUCAUUUUGUAUUGUAGCUCCCAUAAUUCCCACGUGUUGUAGGAGGGACCCAGUGGGAGAUAACUGAAUCAUUGGGGAGGAUUCCCCCAUACUGUUCUCGUGGUAGUGGGUAAGUCUCCUGAGACCUGAUAGUUUUAUAAGGGGAAAUCCCUUUUGCUUGGAUCUCAUUUUUUCUCUUGUCUCCCGCCAUGUGAGAUGUGCCUUUUGCCUUCCACCAUGAUUAUGAGGCCUCCCCAGCCACGUGGAACUGUGAGUCCAUUAAACCUCUUUUUCGUUAUAAAUUACACAGUCUCGGGUAUGUCUUUAUCAGCAGCAUGAAAAUGGACU
rnacentral:lncRNA from 1 species